GGAACGCACAGUACUGGCUGCAGGACAACAUGCAAAGCCCUCUCCUAUGCUGGGCACCUCCUAUGUCUCCAGGGGUGUUUCUGAGCACCAUGUUGGGAUGUCUAACACAAGCAGCUCAGAGAGCUGUCCCUGAUGGCUGCCAGGAUGAGUAUUUCCAAUGCAUCCACCUGCGUGGUACCUGAGAUCACCUCUUCUGUUGGAGCAGGAUUCACUCAGCAUUUGCACCAUAAAGCUGCCCACAGCUGGAUGCUGCUCCCUGGCAAGAGGCUCAGCAUGGCUCAGGUUGCUGAGCAGAAGGGCAGUGCUGCUGACAGACACAUGCUGCUCGCAGGACAGUCAAAUUCACCUCCGUGACCCCCAGGGAUCCCCACAAGCUGAAUGGCUCAUUGCCACAGUGGCAUCCACCCAGAGAGGACAGGCAGAGAGAAGGAAGGGGAUCGGGCACUUGAGGCAGCUCCUGCUCACAGCCUGUACCUCCCCGCUCCNNCCGUGUGCUCCCCUCAUUGCUUGGACCAGGUCAGAGAAAUGAGAUCUCCCUGAAGUACCCCCCAGCCUUGGGCACAGGAAGAGGAACUGUCAAAUGAGGAAACAGGACAACUGGAAAAUAUUUAGAAACAUUUAUUUAAGGAAUAAACUUCUACAAUCUAUUUGCUAGGUACCUAAA
rnacentral:lncRNA from 1 species